rnacentral:rRNA from 1 species
UAGCAGUAGGGAAUCUUCGGCAAUGGACGAAAGUCUGACCGAGCAACGCCGCGUGAGUGAAGAAGGUUUUCGGAUCGUAAAACUCUGUUGGUAGAGAAGAACGUUGGUGAGAGUGGAAAGCUCAUCAAGUGACGGUAACUACCCAGAAAGGGACGGCUAACUACGUGCCAGCAGCCGCGGUAAUACGUAGGUCCCGAGCGUUGUCCGGAUUUAUUGGGCGUAAAGCGAGCGCAGGUGGUUUAUUAAGUCUGGUGUAAAAGGCAGUGGCUCAACCAUUGUAUGCAUUGGAAACUGGUAGACUUGAGUGCAGGAGAGGAGAGUGGAAUUCCAUGUGUAGCGG